rnacentral:tRNA from 1 species
GGAAGAUCGUCGUCUCCGGUGAGGCGGCUGGACUUCAAAUCCAGUUGGGGGCAGGUUCGACUCCUGUGAUCUUCCGCCA